UUCGUGGACCGAACAUGCUUUGACUGUCAAUUGCACGAAGGUGUGACACGUCGAUGAAUGCAGCGUGGUGUUUCGACCGCCGUUUCGCCCGAACCGGCAUGAAACGGGGGAUACGUACCGGUCCGGACGUGAACCGCUGCACGGACGGCCUCCGAUUCGGCCGGUCCGCCUUGACCCAUUAACUGUAGCUUUUAGGGCCCGCAUUCGCGCCACCACUUCGCCGGAACGCGAGUGCGUCUCGCCUCGUGCUACCGCCCGUCGCUGCUCGCCGUCGACGUGGUCUGGCUUUGUCCCUCUUUGAGUUUGCGAAGGGUGUCAAGAUUACAGGAAGAGCAAAGGUAUCUGUUUGACAUUGCUACUCUUCUUCCUUGGAUGUACUCCGGAUCCGGGUUUAGAGGAGGGGCUUCUGGUUGAAGGGCUUCCUUUUGUUUGGUUUAUAAUGUUACCAAAUUCUUGGAGGAACAAUGUGGAGGAGACGAUGAUUUAUUGACGGCCACCAGUACAUCCUUCUCCAUUAAGAACAGUAGAAAAUCCAUUUUCAUCUUCUUGGAUUUGAAGAAAGGAUUCAACUGAUAAUUUUGAAGAGGUUGGGUUGGAUAGAGCACUUAUUGCAAGGGCAACGAUCAAUGAGCACUGUCAAUGAGAUGCAGCAACAAUCCUUUCCAAGAUCAAGACACUCGAAUUCAUCAUAACUUCAGUUUUUGUUUCCACUCGCAAUCUUGGGAUGAGCUACUGCCAUCAGAGUUAUACACUAAAUCAGCUUAAAAUCUUUUGAUGCGCUUGCAAUGUUAAGCUGGUGGUAGUUGUACACGUCAAAAGUCAUAAAAGCUUUUGACAACAAAACCUUUCGCCAUUAAGCUUUGCUGUAGUGAACUGUAACUGAGAAACCUAAAAGUUGCUCGAGGUUCUGCCUCGCCAUUUCCUUCA